AUUGAACGCUGGCGGCAUGCCUUACACAUGCAAGUCGAACGGUAACGGGCCUUCGGGUGCCGACGAGUGGCGAACGGGUGAGUAAUACAUCGGAACGUGCCCGAUCGUGGGGGAUAACGAGGCGAAAGCUUUGCUAAUACCGCAUACGAUCUACGGAUGAAAGCAGGGGACCGCAAGGCCUUGCGCGGACGGAGCGGCCGAUGGCAGAUUAGGUAGUUGGUGGGAUAAAAGCUUACCAAGCCGACGAUCUGUAGCUGGUCUGAGAGGAUGAUCAGCCACACUGGGACUGAGACACGGCCCAGACUCCUACGGGAGGCAGCAGUGGGGAAUUUUGGACAAUGGGCGCAAGCCUGAUCCAGCCAUGCCGCGUGCAGGAUGAAGGGCUUCGGGCUGUAAACUGCUUUUGUACGGAACGAAAAGCCUUCUUUUAAUACAGGAGGGUCAUGACGGUACCGUAAGAAUAAGCACCGGCUAACUACGUG
rnacentral:rRNA from 1 species